rnacentral:rRNA from 1 species
AGUAUUUUUAAAAUGUAACGCAGUUUAACGGCUUGUUAUUAGAUAUUCUAAUAUCCAGAAUUGUUUUUUAUUAAAAGUAAUAUAACAAUACACUUUAAACAAGAAUUGGACAAUGUUACUAUUAGUAGUUAUUAUAAAUAUAUUUAAGGAACUCGGCAAAUAGCCGCUCAACUGUUUAUCAAAAACAUAGCUAUGUGCGCUAAUACAUAGUUAUUUCUGCUCCAUGAUUAUUAAAUAGCCGCAGUACUCUGACUGUGCAAAGGUAGCAUAAUCAGUUGGCUUUUAAUUGGAGUCUGGUAUGAACGAACACAUGGGUGGCGACUGUCUCAAUAUAUUUUUCCUAACUUUUUAAUCAAGUGAAAAUACUUGUGCUAAUAAAAAAGACGAGAAGACCCUAGAAACUUGAAAAGUUUUUUGUUGGGGCGACAGAGUUACAUAUAACUAAUUUUAUUGAACAUGACAUUAAUUAGAAAGGAUAAGUUACUCUAGGGAUAACAGCAUAAUUUUAAUAGUUUGUGACCUCGAUGUUGGAUUAGGUACUAUACCCUUUAGGCAAGGGUAUAAGACGCUCUGUUCGAGCAAAUACACCUACAUGAUCUGAGUUCAGACCG